CUGGCGCGAGAGAUCUCUGCACACUAGGAGAGGGGUUUAAUGUUCCAGUGGUCGAUAAAGAAGAGUUUCUUAUUAACCACUGUAGACUUAGCCUAGCCUCGACUGUACUAGCAUGGGUUUUCUCUGUGGUUUCCCCAUGUUACUGGUCCAACAGCCUGAGAGGUGAGGUUCAGGGUAAAUGUGGUACAGAAAACACAAGUCGGUCCACAGCCGCAAAUAUAGAUAAAGCAUGAAAAAUUC